UACGUAGGGGGCAAGCGUUGUCCGGAAUCAUUGGGCGUAAAGAGCGUGUAGGCGGCCCGGUAAGUCCGCCGUGAAAGUCCAGGGCUCAACCCUGGAAUGCCGGUGGAUACUGUCGGGCUAGAGUACGGAAGAGGCGAGUGGAAUUCCCGGUGUAGCGGUGAAAUGCGCAGAUAUCGGGAGGAACACCAAUUGCGAAGGCAGCUCGCUGGGACGUCACUGACGCUGAGACGCGAAAGCGUGGGGAGCAAACGGG
rnacentral:rRNA from 1 species